rnacentral:sRNA from 1 species
CUGAGAGUCCUGGAGACUGGACUCCUCUUUAUCCAGAGAGCCAGAGACAACUGCUAUCCCAACAAUGUGCCUCAACCUAGUUUGAAGGGACCUUCCUCUAAGGGGUAAGAGAGGAAUCCUGUCUCCAUGGCCCAUUCAGACAGACUUUGGU